rnacentral:miRNA from 3 species
CCUUAUCACUUUUCCAGCCAGC